UGGGGAAUUUUGGACAAUGGGGGAAACCCUGAUCCAGCCAUCCCGCGUGUGCGAUGAAGGCCUUCGGGUUGUAAAGCACUUUUGGCAGGGAAGAAAAGGCUCGGGCUAAUAACCUGGGCAAAUGACGGUACCUGCAGAAUAAGCACCGGCUAACUACGUGCCAGCAGCCGCGGUAAUACGUAGGGUGCAAGCGUUAAUCGGAAUUACUGGGCGUAAAGCGUGCGCAGGCGGUUCGGAAAGAAAGGUGUGAAAUCCCAGGGCUUAA
rnacentral:rRNA from 1 species